ensembl:piRNA 21ur-4360 ncRNA
UUGAUUCCCUUAGCACAUACC